UAGAAAGCACUAAUGAGUUUAAACAAUAUGUUGUUUCAUGUAAUCUACAUGCAGACUUAUAUUUCAGGAAUACUAGAAUUAUUACUGACGUAACAUUAUGCCAGACAUGGUUGAAUCAAGCAUUUAUGAUGUGCUCUAGAGGAGAUUCAAAAUAUAUCGAGAUAUAUAUCGUGUAUCGAGAUAUAGUAAAAAAAUAUCGAGAUAUUCAUUUUGGCCCAUAUCGCCCAGCCCUACUCCCGGUAUGUAUUGCUACAGGGGAACAUAGGACCCUUUUUGGGAAAAACGGGGAACAUAGGACCCGGGGAACAUAGGACCCGGGGAACAUAGGGAUGACCCCGCUACCAGGAGACAUCUAUGCUCAAGAUGAGCUGUGACUAUUUUGACUCUAGCAAACACACCCUACACGUUUUAUUUUUGUAAAUAGUUUUUUUCAUGAAUAAAACUUCAAAUUCAUGUUGGUUGUUAGAACGUCGCCGGUCAUUAUCGAAUAAGCCCUUAUUUUCCCGAUAAUGACCAGCGUUCUUUACAUUAUCGCUAAAUUAAUACAUGGCUCUUCUCAAUGCUGUGGAACGCUUAAUGAAAUUGCAUCUGGAACUGCGACGCAGGCCCGUUAGCUGGCUAGUCAUGCUACCAAGCACCAGAUGACUCUUAAAAGACGUGCAUAUAAACAAGUAUGCCCUAAUCACGCAAAUGUCAUGCCUGGUCACGUUGGGUAGAGGUCUCUCCACAGAGACAACGCAGCGAUAUCAUCAUGAGCAGUGGAGAGAAAGUGAAAUCCGCGAGCUGCUGAUCAUGUGAGAGAAGGUUGACUCUCUGACACAGAUGCUCUUGACUCUGUUGCACUGGAUGGACUCCUUGAUCUGCUGCUGCUACUCUGUUCUGCAUUAAUAGAUAAAAAAAUACAGAUGAAAACAUGAUUGGACAUUAAAAUAUACUAGGUUGACAGUUGUAAGACUCCUUAUUUCUUUCCUUACCCAUUUGUCGUCCUGACACUGAUUUUCUCCCUGACAAAGAUGCACUUGAC
ensembl:lncRNA